rnacentral:lncRNA from 1 species
CUCAAAGUCAUGUGGAGAUUUUUUUGAAUGCUAAUUCCAUUGUCCAGCAUGUUAGCUUCAUCUGCACCUUUGAUAAUUCUUCAAUCAAUGCUGAAUCUACUCAAUUAUAUUAUCAACAGAGAGGCAAGGGAUGCAAAGAGAGAAGUGGAAGAAUGGAAGAUUAAGGAAGAAUUGAGCACAGGAGGAUUAAAAUCCUUUCAGAGAGGAAAUCCCGCUGGAUUGGGAGGCAGCAGCCUGGAGCUGUGCAGACAACUUUAACGCCCGUGUGGAAGUGAGCAAGCAUUCCGCCUCUCCAAGCUCUACAAAUGGGAGCGUUGUAGAGAUGACUCCUCUGGU